rnacentral:lncRNA from 1 species
GAUGAAGCUGAUCUUCCCAGCCACAGGCUGCCAGGAGCUCAUUGAAGUGGAUGAUGAACACGAACUUUGGACCAAUUUUGAGAAGUGUAUUCUGAUGCUCUGGGUGAAAAGAACAGAAGGGUUAUGUGGUCCAAGACAGUGAGGGGAACAACAAGCAAGUCUCCCCCAAGAAGCAAGAUGUCCUGACCAUGGCCGUGCCCAUGUGCCAUUGCGUAAGGGGCAUUCUUGUUAGAGACCAAGGAGAACUGGAGAAAAGAAAAUUCAAGUCUGUUCUGGAUUGCACUACGGAUGCCAAUCUGAGUGUUCUCAAUUUAACUAUCAGCUAAAAAGGAAAGAAGAAUAUUCCUGGACUGACUGAUGCUACUGGGCCUCUAUCCUGGGGCUCAGAACAGAUAGCAGAAUCCACAAACAUUUCCAUCUUCCUUAAGAAGAUCAUGAACACCAGUGUUUUGUGAGAAAGCCCCUAAACAAAGAAAGUAAGAGACCUGGGAGUAAAGCACCCAAGAUUCAGUCUUGUUAUUCCAUGUGUCCAGCAACACAAAUGUACGUCUAUUGCUCUGAAAAAACAGCAUAUUUAGGAAAAUAAGAGGUUGCAGAGCAGAACAUGCUGAACUUUUGGUCAAGAGAAUGCAGGAGGUCAAACAAAUUGCCAAGAACAGAUAGCCAAGAGACAGAGCUGUCCUCUUUGAUAAAUUCUACCUCCAAGUUUAAGUCUUGUCAAA